GACGAACGCUGGCGGCGUGCUUCACACAUGCAAGUCGAACGGGGAUGCAGCAAAAGCUUGCUUUUAUUGCAUCCUAGUGGCGGACGGGUGAGUAACACGUGAGCAACCUGCCCGACAUACCGGGAUAACAGCGGGAAACCGUUGCUAAUACCGGAUACUCCAUUUCUGGCGCAUGUCAGAGAUGGGAAAGGGUUUACCGAUGUCGGAUGGGCUCGCGUCCCAUUAGCUGGUUGGUGAGGUAACGGCUCACCAAGGCUGCGAUGGGUAGCUGGUCUGAGAGGACGAUCAGCCACACUGGAACUGAGACACGGUCCAGACUCCUACGGGAGGCAGCAGUGGGGAAUAUUGCACAAUGGGCGAAAGCCUGAUGCAGCGACGCCGCGUGAGUGAAGAAGGCCUCGGUCGUAAGACUCUGUCCUAGGGAAGAGUAAUGACGGUACCUACGGAGGAAGCCCGGCCUAACUACGUGCCAGCAGCCGCGGU
rnacentral:rRNA from 1 species